rnacentral:rRNA from 1 species
GACGUAGGGCGCGAGCGUUGUCCGGAUUUAUUGGGCGUAAAGAGCUCGUAGGCGGCUCGUUGCGUCAACCGUGAAAACCCGGGGCUUAACUUCGGGCUUGCGGUUGAUACGGGUGGGCUGGAGUUCGGUAGGGGAGACUGGAAUUCCUGGUGUAGCGGUGAAAUGCGCAGAUAUCAGGAGGAACACCGGUGGCGAAGGCGGGUCUCUGGGCCGAUACUGACGCUGAGGAGCGAAAGCGUGGGGAGCGAACAGG